rnacentral:rRNA from 1 species
AGAGUUUGAUCCUGGCUCAGGAUGAACGCUGGCGGUAUGCCUAACACAUGCAAGUCGAACGAUGUCUUCGGACAUAGUGGCGGACGGGUGAGUAACGCGUGAGAAUCUGCCUCUAGGAUGGGGAUAACGGUUGGAAACGACCGCUAACACCCAAUAUGCCGUAAGGUGAAAAAUUUAUUGCCUGGAGAGGAGCUCGCGUCUGAUUAGCUAGUUGGUGGGGUAAGAGCUCACCAAGGCUUCGAUCAGUAGCUGGUCUGAGAGGAUGAGCAGCCACACUGGGACUGAGACACGGCCCAGACUCCUACGGGAGGCAGCAGUGGGGAAUUUUCCGCAAUGGGCGAAAGCCUGACGGAGCAAUACCGCGUGAGGGAGGAAUGCCUUUGGGUUGUAAACCUCUUUUCUCAGGGAAGAAGAUCUGACGGUACCUGAGGAAUAAGUAUCGGCUAACUCCGUGCCAGCAGCCGCGGUAAUACGGAGGAUGCAAGCGUUAUCCGGAAUCAUUGGGCGUAAAGCGUCCGCAGGUGGUUUCCAAAGUCUGCUGUUAAAGACUGGAGCUCAACUCCGGAACGGCGGUGGAAACUUGGAAACUAGAGUUCGGUAGGGGUAGCAGGAAUUCCCAGUGUAGCGGUGAAAUGCGUAGAUAUUGGGAAGAACAUCGGCGGCGAAGGCGUGCUACUGGACCGUAACUGACACUCAGGGACGAAAGCUAGGGGAGCGAAAGGGAUUAGAUACCCCUGUAGUCCUAGCUGUAAACGAUGGAAACUAGGUGUGGCUUGUAUCGACCCGAGCCGUGCCGUANCUAACGCGUUAAGUUUCCCGCCUGGGGAGUACGCACGCAAGUGUGAAACUC